rnacentral:rRNA from 1 species
GGAAAAGAGUCUUAGCUCUACCUUAAUUUUUUUAUUGCACCAAACAAAACACUAGAUUUAAGAGCUAUUCAAAUAAGGCACAGCUUAUUUGAAAUGGGAUACAACCCCUAAUACUGGGUUAAUCUAGAUAUAUUAAAUAAAGUGGGCCUAAAAGCAGCCAUCUUCUAAAAAGCGUUAAAGCUUAACAUAUUAUUAUCUACAAUUCCACAAUUUUUACUUAACCCUUCAUCACUACUGAACUAUUUUAUACCCCUAUAAAAGUCAUUAUGCUAGAACUAGUAACAAGAAAUUGCCCUUCUCCAAAAUGUAUGUUUAAACCAAAAUGGACCCUCCACUGGUAGUUAACGUAAAUGUAAAAAUCAUAGUACCACACAACUAGAAAACCCUAUGACCUCCCCAACGUCAACCUUACACUAGAACAUUACAGGAAAGAUUAAAAGAGAAAGAAGGAACUCGGCAAACCACAGUCCCGCCUGUUUACCAAAAACACCGCCUCUUGCCCAAAUAUAAGAGGUCCAGCCUGCCCAGUGACAUAGUUUAACGGCCGCGGUACCCUAACCGUGCGAAGGUAGCAUAAUCACUUGUUCUUUAAAUAAGGACUCGUAUCAACGGCAUCACGAGGGCUGUACUGUCUCCUUUCUCCAAUCAGUGAAACUGAUCUCCCCGUGAAGAAGCGGGGAUUGACCUAUAAGACGAGAAGACCCCAUGGAGCUUUAAACCCAACACACACCCCUACGCACCCAAACCAAUACAGCCCAAGAGACUUGUGUGUUGGUUUUAGGUUGGGGGGACCGCGGAGUAAAAUCAAACCUCCAUGACAGACGGGCUAAUACCCUUAUCCAUGAACCACAAUUCUAAGAGCCAAUAAAUUGUUGUCUAAUGACCCAAUUACUUGAUCAACGAACCAAGUUACCCUGGGGAUAACAGCGCAAUCUACUUCAAGAGCCCCUAUCGACAAGUAGGUUUACGACCUCGAUGUUGGAUCAGGGUAUCCUAGUGGUGCAGCCGCUACUAAAGGUUCGUUUGUUCAACGAUUAAAACCCUACGUGAUCUG